UAAAGCGCACAGUGGGCGAAUCCCCA
rnacentral:piRNA from 1 species